UGGGGAAUUUUGGACAAUGGGCGCAAGCCUGAUCCAGCCAUGCCGCGUGCGGGAAGAAGGCCUUCGGGUUGUAAACCGCUUUUGUCAGGGAAGAAACGCUCUGGGCUAAUACCCUGGGGUAAUGACGGUACCUGAAGAAUAAGCACCGGCUAACUACGUGCCAGCAGCCGCGGUAAUACGUAGGGUGCAAGCGUUAAUCGGAAUUACUGGGCGUAAAGCGUGCGCAGGCGGUUAUGCAAGACAGAUGUGAAAUCCCCGGGCUCAACCUGGGAACUGCAUUUGUGACUGUAUAGCUAGAGUACGGUAGAGGGGGAUGGAAUUCCGCGUGUAGCAGUGAAAUGCGUAGAUAUGCGGAGGAACACCGAUGGCGAAGGCAAUCCCCUGGACCUGUACUGACGCUCAUGCACGAAAGCGUGGGGAGCAAACAGGAUUAGAUACCCUAGUAGUCCCUGAGCGGGCUGGCAAGGCGCAU
rnacentral:rRNA from 1 species